UACGGAAGGCCCGAGCGUUGUCCGGAUUUAUUGGGUUUAAAGGGAGCGCAGGCGGGACUCCAAGCCGGCCGUCAAAUCCCGGGGCUCAACCCCGGUCCGCGGUCGGAACUGGCGUCCUUGAGUGCGCCGAGGGAAGGCGGAACUCGUGGUGUAGCGGUGAAAUGCAUAGAUAUCACGAGGAACCCCGUUCGCGAAGGCGGCCUUCCGCGGCGUCACUGACGCUCAUGCUCGAAGGCGCGGGUAUCGAACAGG
rnacentral:rRNA from 1 species